rnacentral:rRNA from 1 species
CGUGUAGGCGGGCGAUCAAGUCAGAUGUAAAAGGCGACGGCUUAACCGUAGUAUGUCAUCUGAUACUGGUUGUCUUGAGUUCGAGAGAGGGUGGUGGAAUUCCCGGUGUAGCGGUGAAAUGCGUAGAUAUCGGGAAGAACACCUGAAGCGAAGGCGGCCACCUGGCUCGACACUGACGCUGAGGCGCGAAAGCGUGGGAGCAAACA